AUUGUGGGAAGCAGCCAUGGUCUAAGCCGGGCGCCUCACCUGUCAGCCGCACCGGCUCCAGCGCUCGCCUCUCGCCCUCGCUUCUCCAGCGCUCCUUGCUCGCAAGGCGGGGGAGGCGGCGGCCCAGCCACGAUGAUACAUUUCAUAUUGCUCUUCAGUCGACAAGGGAAAUUACGGCUACAGAAAUGGUACAUCACUCUCCCUGAUAAAGAGAGGAAGAAGAUCACCCGGGAAAUUGUUCAGAUUAUUCUCUCCCGUGGUCACAGGACAAGCAGUUUUGUUGACUGGAAGGAGCUAAAACUUGUUUAUAAAAGGUAUGCUAGUUUAUAUUUUUGCUGUGCAAUAGAAAAUCAGGACAAUGAGCUCUUGACGCUAGAGAUUGUGCAUCGUUACGUGGAGCUGCUGGACAAAUAUUUUGGAAAUACUUGGCCUUUUGCAAGAGCCUGAAGAAGUUUCCUUGAGGUCUGUGAGCUGGAUAUUAUCUUUAAUUUUGAAAAGGCUUAUUUCAUCCUGGACGAGUUUAUAAUAGGUGGGGAAAUUCAGGAAACAUCCAAGAAAAUUGCUGUCAAAGCCAUUGAAGACUCUGAUAUGUUACAGGAGACAAUGGAAGAAUACAUGAACAAGCCUACAUUUUAACUGGAAAUCUACUUGAAGACUCCAGCACUACAUGUUAUGAAGCUGUAAAUAAGCAACGCCUCCCAUCCGGUUUUUUGAUGGAGCCUCAGGCACCAUGCCAAAAAUAAUUUAAAGGGAUUCUUUGUUAACUAACAAAGUUAAAGUUGUUUAACAUAUUUAUAAUUACUAUGUGUCUGUAUUAUUAAAAAAAAUUAUGUGUCUGUGUUAUACUGUAUAGGUACUUGUAGCUCUAAAUGUUUAAAGUAACUACCACCUAACCCAACAGACAAUAUUUGUAAUGUAUUAACUCCAUGUUAUGUUUUUAAGCUGGUUUAGAUACAUUAGCUGCAAUUUUUUUUGCAUUUGACACAAUAUUGUAAUAAUCCAUGAUUUUGAAUGUAAAGUAUAUAUGAUGUCAUUAAUACUUUUUCUAAAUGUUUAGUUUUCUAAAUUGUAUAAUAAUUCAAAAUUAUGUUAAUAGUGCAGAGUUUAUAUGUAAUGCUAGACAUUUUUCAUACACUUAAUAGUACUGUAACUGCAAUUCACAUACAAAAUGUCUGAUUUUAAUGUGCUGAAUUCAUUUAUUUUUUUUAGAAUUGGGAUUAUGAAAAUAACCAAAGAGUAUAGAACUUAAUAAGUGUUUUUGAUGCCUUAGAAGCUGCUAUCUUGACUGAGGUUUUAAUUUAUCUUUUAAUUGAAUAUAAGGGACAUUCCAAUAAGGUUUUCUAUGAACUAUAUAUUUAUUAAGGUUUAUAGAGACCUAGAGAUACAGCAUCUAUGACUUCCUUUAUUAUUCUAAAAUAGUAUGAUAAGAAUUAAUAGCAAUAAUAAUUAUUGCUACUAUUUUUUAAAAUUCACGUUCCAAGCACUCUUAGAUGCUGGAAAUUUCAUUUCAAAUAUGUUUUAAUGUAUCUCUAAUGCAUUUGAAGACUUAUUACAUGGCUUACUUAGAGCAUUUAAGAUUAUCACAGCCUAUAUGGUAGAUUCCUUUCCUUCUUUUUUCUUUUCUUACCCUUUCCUCCCCAAAGAAAAGAUUUGCUGCUGACCAUUAUUACUGUAAGUAUAUCACAUUUGUGCUUCCUGGAAUGAAAAUUCUGUAUAACCAGGUCCUAACAGUGAUCAGACAUAUUACAGGGAAAUAGCUUGUAGGCCGGGAGUGGUGGCUUACACCUGUAAUCCCAGCACUUUGGGAGGCCGAGGCAGGUGGAUCACUUGAGGUCAGGAGUUCGAGAGCAGCCUGGCCAAUAUGAUGAAACCCCAUCUCUACUAAAAAUACAAAAAUUAGGCCGGGUACAGUGGCUCAUGCCUAUAAUUCCAGCACUUUGGGAGGCAGAGGUGGGCGGAUCACAAGGUCAAGAGAUCAAGACCAUCCUCGCCAACAAGGUGAAACCCCACCUCUAUUAAAAAUACAAAAAUUAGCCGGGAGUGGUGGUGCGUGCCUGUAGUCCCAGCUACUUGGGAGGCUGAGGCAGGAGAAUCGCUUGAACCUGGGAGGCAGAAGUUGCAGUGAGCUGAGAUUGUGCCACUGCACUCCAGCCUGGGCGACAGAGCGAGACUUCGUCUCAAACAAACAAAAAAAUUAGCCGGGCAUGGUGGCAGGUGCCUGUAAUCCCAGCUACUCAGGGGGCUGAGGCAGGGGAAUGGCUUGAACCCAGGAGGCAGAGGUUGCAGUGAGCCAAGGUCAUACCAGUGCACUCCAGGCGGGUGACAGAGCAAGACUGCGUCUCAAGAAAAAAAAAAAAAAAAAGAAAAAGUAAAAGCUUGUAGUAUUCUGUCUUGCUGCCUGCUAUUUGAUGUUUUACCUGUGCAUUUUCAAUGUUAGCUUUGAGGUCUGGUAUCAUUCAUAUUAGAGUGGUUUGGGACCUCCAGUGAUUUCCUAGAAGAGUGUGUUUCCUGUUGGAUUCUUUAGGAGAUCCCAUCUGGUAGAUUUUUAGAGAACUCGAUGGAAAAAUGUUCUCUUUAGUUCAUCUCAGCAGACAUAUUUAGGGAAAACAGCAAAGCAAGCAGGAGAACAAAGGGAAAAAUUCACCAAUUCCUCAAUAUAACCAUUGUUCAAAGGAAAUAACUCAGAUUAGCAUAUAAAAUAAUCAUUAGGCUUUUACUAUCCAAUAUUUCUUCAGGUUACCAUGUAAUUACAAUUAUGGCAUCAGCUUGAAGUUUAUCAUGUAUGAUUGACCACUGUGUUUACUUUAGCUAACCUUCAGUUUUGUGGUUUAACUUUUUAAUGUGUUAGAAUUUUUUCUUUCUUUUUUUCUUUCUUUCUUUCUUUUCUUUCUUUCUUUCUUUUCCUUCCUUUCUUCCUUCCUUCUUCUCUCUCUCUCCUUCCCUCCCUUCCUUCCUUCCCUUCCUCCCUCCCUCCUUUCUUUCUUUCUUUUUCUCUUUUCUUUUCUUUUCUUUCUUUUCUUUCCUCGCUUCUUGUCACCCAGGCCAGAGUGCAAUGGUGUGAUCUCAGGUCACUGCAGCCUCCGUCUCCUGGGUUCAAACGAUUCUCCUGCCUCAGCCUCCCGAGUAGCUGGGAUUAUAGGCAUGCGCCACCACGCCUGGCUAAUUUUGUAUUUUUGGUAGAGUUGGGAUUUCUCCAUGUUGGUCAGGCUGGUCUUGAACGCCGACCUCAGGUGAUCCGCCCGCCUUGGCCUUCCAAAGUGCUGGAAUUACAGGCAUGAGCCGCUGCACCCGGCCAAAUUCUUUAUUUUUCAAUACAAUUUUGUAAAGAUGGACCUCAUGUAAAUCCAUCAUAGUUUUUCCGGUUCUUUUGAAAUUUGUCACCAUAUUUGGAUAAAGGUAUCUCUUGAACCUCAUUCAAAUAUACUACACAUGUUCUGGAUAAUUCCAUAUUAGACACUUUAGUUAUGGACAGGGCUUCUCAGACUUCAAUCAGUGUCACACAUAGAAAGUAAAUAUAUCUCUUCUGGGCAAGGUGGCUCACGCCUGUAAUCCCAGCACUUUGGGAGGUCAAGGCGGCAGAUCACCUGAGGUCAGGAGUUCGAGACCAGCCUGGCCAACAUGGUGAAACCCUGUCUCUACUAAAAAUUCAAAAAUUAGCCAAGUGUGGUGGCACAUGCUUGUAGUGCCAGCUACUCAGGAGGCUGAGGCAGGAGAAUCGCUUGAACCCGGGAGGCAGAGGUUGCAGUGAGCUGAGAUCACGCCACUGUACUCCAGCCCGGGUGACAGAGUGAGACCCUGUCUCAAAAAAAAAAAAAAAAAAAUGAAAGUAAGUAAACAUAUCUAUAUGGCACAGUGGGGUAAAUUUGAGGGAUUUUAGGGACAUCUUCCAUGGGCCUAGGCUAAAAUAGUCAUUGUGUUUUCUUUAUAUUAUAUAAUUACUAUAAAACUACCAAGAGAAAGACAGUAAAUGUUAAAUUUCUAUAAAACUUCCAAAAUAAAAUGUUUUAACAUGUUUUAAUGAGGAA